UGACGCUGAGAUGCGUAAGCCAGGGUAGCGAUCGGGAUUAGAUACCUCGGUAGUCCUGGCCAUAAACGAUGUCAACUAGUUCGGAGGUUCUCUGACGAAUUUCCGGCCGAAAUGAUAACGUUAAGUUGACCGCCUGGGGAGUACGGUCGCAAGGCUAAAACUCAAAGGAAUUGACGGGUGCUCACACAAGCGGUGGAGCAUGUUGCUUAAUUCGAUGCAACGCGAAGAACCUUAUCCUGGGCUUGACAUGCUUGGAUGCCUACCUGGAAACAGGAUCGGCUGCCCUUCGGGGUGAAACUUGCACAGGUGCUGCAUGGCUGUCGUCAGCUCGUGUCGUGAGAUGUCGGGUUAAGUCCCUUAACGAGCGAAACCCUUGUCGUUAGUUGCCAGCGAGUAAUGUCGGGGACUCUAACGAGACUGCCGGUGUUAAACCGGAGGAAGGUGGGGAUGACGUCAAGUCCUCAUGGCCUUUAUGCCCAGGGCUGCAAACGUGCUACAAUGGUCGGUACAAACCGAAGCGAGACCGCGAGGUGGAGCAAAUCGGAAAAAACCGGCCCCAGUUCGGAUUGGAGUCUGCAACUCGACUCCAUGAAGUUGGAAUCGCUAGUAAUCGUACAUCAGCGCGGUACGGUGAAUGUGUUCCUGAGCAUUGUACACACCGCCCGUCAAGUCAUGGAAGCCGGGAGCGCCCGAAGUCGCCCUGAUUCAAGGGUGCCUAAGGUGAGCUCGGU
rnacentral:rRNA from 1 species